rnacentral:lncRNA from 1 species
CGCGCGGGCGGAGACGGCUGCGGUGUCGGGAACGGCCUCCUGCGCCCUGACACGAGCGCUGCGGCCCUCCCCGGUUAACGGGAGUUGGUUACGAAGAUGUCCGACGGGGAAGCCGGGGGGCGCUCGCUACGAGCAUUCCGGGCACAAGGACACAUGCUGCCUGUUAUACCACCACGGGAGAUGCAGAUAACAUCUUUUUGUGUAAAAAUCUAUCUUGGGAGCAAUGAGACAGCACCAUCUCCACAUCACACUGCUCUCCAUCCCAUGAUCGUUAAUUCAGAUUUCCAGGAACUUUAAGACAAGCCAAUUGGGCUCAAAUGACACUGAGAAACUACAGUGCACCAAUGGCAACAGGAUGCACCCUUUUGUACAAUAAACAGCCAUGAGGAUCACUUGCACUUUUUGCUCUAUAACCCCAGGCCAUGAGUCUGUUAUUAAAACCUAUUAAGAGCAUGCUUGUCAAUAAAAGCCCAUGAAAGAAUGCCUGUGUUCUAUGCUAGAAUAAUAAUAAAAAAAAAAAGCAGAAUUUUGUAAAGUGUUUUCUGUCCAUCAGCACAUUUUCAUCUGCUCUGACACUCAAGGUUCCUUCAUCUUCCCC